AUUGAACGCUGGCGGCAGGCCUAACACAUGCAAGUCGAACGAGUGGCGGACGGGUGAGUAAUGUCUGGGAAACUGCCUGAUGGAGGGGGAUAACUACUGGAAAAGGUAGCUAAUACCGCAUACCAUCAGAUGUGCCCAGAUGGGAUUAGCUAGUUGGGGGGGUAACGGCUCACCAAGGCGACGAUCCCUAGCUGUUCUGAGAGGAUAACCAGCCACACUGGACCGGAGACCCGUUCCAGACUCCUACGGUGUGCAGUGGUGGGGAAUAUUGCCCAAUGGGCGCAAGCCUGAUGCAGCCAUGCCGCGUGUAUGAAGAAGGCCUUCGGGUUGUAAAGUACUUUCAGCGGGGAGGCGUUACCCGCAGAAGAAGCACCGGCUAACGCCGUGCCAGCAGCCGCGGUAAUUC
rnacentral:rRNA from 1 species